rnacentral:rRNA from 1 species
GGUUCUGGCAUCGAUGAAGAACGCAGCGAAAUGCGAUAAGUAAUGUGAAUUGCAGAAUUCAGUGAAUCAUCGAAUCUUUGAACGCACAUUGCGCCCGGUGGUAUUCCGCCGGGCAUGCCUGUUCGAGCGUCAUUAUAACCAAUCAUGCCUGGCAUGGUGUUGGGGCACGCGGUCUCGCGGCCCUCAAAAUCAGUGGCGGUGCCGGUAGGCUCUAAGCGUAGUAAUUCUUCUCGCUUCAGGGUCCUGCGGGUGGCUUGCCAGAACCCCCCAUUUUUUCAGGUUGACCUCGGAUCAGGUAGGGAUACCCGCUGAACUUAAGCAUAUCAAUAAGCGGAGGAAAAGAAACCAACAGGGAUUACCUUAGUAACGGCGAGUGAAGCGGUAACAGCUCAAAUUUGAAAGCUCCCCACAGGGCGCAUUGUAAUUUGUAGAGGAUGCUUUGGGGGUCGGCCCGGUUUAAGUUCCUUGGAACAGGACGUCAUAGAGGGUGAGAAUCCCGUAUGUGACCGGUGCUAGCCUUCGUGUAAAGUUCCUUGGAGGAGUGGAGUUGUUUGGGAAUGCAGCUCAAAAUGGGUGGUAUAUUUCAUCUAAAGAUAAAUAUUGGCCAGAGACCGAUAGCGCACAAGUAGAGUGAUCGAAAGAUGAAAAGCACUUUGGAAAGAGAGUUAAACAGUACGUGAAAUUGUGGAAAGGGAAGCGCUUGCAAUCAGAUUUGCGGGCG